AAUUGUCCAUAUCUAGUUGCACAUACAUCUAUUAACAUAUCUAUAUAAUUUUGGACUAGUAAAUUUGAUACAGUGCUUUCUUAAAGCCAGCUUGCCAUUAUACAAAGCAAAUUCCUCUGUCAGUUCUUACAUAAAAUAGUUUUUUAAAAUGUAUUAUCUUUCUAAAAAGAUGCAUAUCAUCAUUACAGAAUUUAACAAUAUUUUGUAUAAAACUUGAAGCAAUAGAAAACAAAGAUCACCUGAUUAGUUUUCAGAGCAAUCCCUUACUCUGUCUGGAGAUGCACUGAGUAUUAACUACACUUUUUCCUCUUAAAAGCAGCAUAUUUUGAAGCCCUCAAAGUGUCAGCGCAGGCUCUUCCUCACCAACCUAGAUUCUGUAAAAUUUCUCUGCCACACACACGUAGAGCUAAGGCUCUGGCUAAUCUUAAUCACCUUAAGACAACACUCCUUAGUUUCCCAACAGGUAAGUCAGACUGCUCGGCUAGAGAGGUGGCAGUCUCUCUCCAGUUGCAUCAAUGAUUGAUGUGAUUUUAAUAAAUGUGUAGGCAGUUACCGUCACUUGAAUUGUUUUAGGAAAAAGAAAAGAAAUGUGGUUUUAAUACUUUGAAGGUCUCCCUCAUGUAAGUUACACUGAAGUUAAUCAAGACAAAUUAUUAAUGACACUUUAGCAGUAAUGCAGUCUUUUGGGUAGGUAGGUGUACACUGGCAUUCUAUGUAAGUAUUCUGUUUAUACAAGAGUAGAGGAUACUAGAUAUUAUGAGAGACAGAUUUCAACAGAAUAAACAAGGAGAAAAAUAAACAAUGAAGUAACUGUCUUCACAGCUGAAAGAAUCAAGGUCUGAGGAGAGCACCCUGACAAGUUCUCAUUACCACAGAGGCAAGCUGAGACACAUGAUGUAAAGGAUGCGUCUCUGUGUGUUAACACCAGAGCAGACGUGCUUUUUCUUUCUGACUUACAGAUUCAGUGGGUGAAAAUCAAAAGUUUAACAUUAUUUAAUUUUCAAG
rnacentral:lncRNA from 1 species